GCCGUGGUGGCGGAAUUGGCAGACGCGCUUGCCUGAAAAGCAAGAAACCUUACGGGGUUUUACGGGUUCGAGUCCCGUCCACGGCG
rnacentral:tRNA from 1 species